CAGAUUGCUUUAUCUGCAUUCCCCAUCAUUUUCCUAAGACUAUAGGCAUUUCCUGAAGAAGCAUUACUUCAUUAUUUUGGUAUCAUUAUCUCUUAAUCAUCUUCAUAGGUUGACUUUGCAGACUAUAUUGCCCCCAAGACAUGUUUUGUGUGUUUGUGCAUGUGUGUGUGUGUUUAUGAGACAGAUUUUUUUUAACUUUUAUCGAUUCUUUGUGAAUUUCACAUCAUGUACUCUGAUCUUCCUUAUCUCCCCGUCUCCUUGAACCUGCCCUCUGCCCUUGCAACCUCCCCUGCAAAAACAAAUUUGAAAGAAAAACUAAAAGUCAAACAAAACAAAGGAGAAGGGGAAGGAGCGGGUUGUGUUUGGGAUGCGAAAUGAAGAAACCAGAAAGGCUGGGGUUGAGAGGAAGAAGGCCUAAAGAAGGGGGAUGUGCCGAAUGCUGGGGGUGAGGCCUUUGUGGAGCUGUCCCAGCUGGCUGGGCCUGAGCCCCAGUAGUGGAGUGGCCACCUGGGACCUCAGGCCGUUGACCAUCCUGGAUCCUCAUCAGACCCCACAGGGAUGGAGGUUGUUGGUUUCCAUGGCAGCACGAAGUAGAGCAGAGAACACUCUGGAAUAGGGCACUUCCAGAAUAGGGACAGUAACUCUUAGGGGUCAGGGUCUGAAAGAGGACCCUUGGUUUGUCUGCAUUGCCAUCAUCCCCCCCCCCCCCGCCCCCAAACCUGCCCAGGCCAGGCGGGAAGCUGUGGGCUGUUUGUAGGUGGGUGUGUGUGUGAAGCAGCUCUAGCUGGGACUGUGGGAACGUGGGACUUUGGAGAUUCUUGUGCCCCAGUGUCUUGGGGGUAAACAAUAAAGAUUUGGGGUUUUUUUGGGGGGGAAAAGGAACAAAAUAAAAUGAAGAAAAAAAGAAAGGAAAAGAAGAAGACUCUUCUCCUGGAAGAUACACUGUGGCCCAUGAGUCACAGUUCACCCUUUAGUCCACUCAUCUUUACUUUCAAGUACUCUUUGCCACGAGUCAUUGGCCAUGCUCCAGACCCCUGGUUUCUUCCCCACCACUAAUAAUGGGUUCUCAGUGGGGCUCCUCUUGGAUAUCCUGUUGUUGUCCUGUGUUGUGGAGAUCCUGGCUUUUUAGCUCUGUACAUUCAUCCCCUUCAUAUGCUCCAGCAAUUCCUAGCUUUGUUGGAUGUUGUGGUGGGUCAACACAUAGCCCUGCUCCUGGAGCCUGGGUGGUAGCUGGAUGGGUCAGCCCACCAACUUUCCCUCAUCAUCACGUCCCAAGCCAGCUCUGCAGCACUGCACGGACCAGCUCAUCCACUGCAGCGUACAGCGAGGAGCUACAGUCUAGCAGGGAGAGAGGGCCAGGUUUCCUACUCUCAGGCCCUCAGCUCUGGGCCCCCACAUUCGCAUCACUAGGGCCAGUUCUAUUGUUCUGCUCGUGCAAGAUGCAGGGUUCUCUCUCGUGGUUGCUGUAGUGUAAGGUGAGGUCUCAGGGUCAGUUCUCCUGCUCCCACGCCCUCACAGCUGGCUCACGCCCACUCUGACAACAGGGUCAGCUCUAGUGUGCUACCCAGGCAAGGUGGAGGGCCAGCUCUCCUGUGUGCUGCAGCCGCUGUGAGGCGGGGCUAGUUCUCUCACUCUUGUGACCUAGAGCCACCUCUCUUGCCUGCCACAGGUAGCAAGAUGGCCCAGACAAUCUUAUGUGGCUUUGAAUGCUGCAAGUUAUUUAUAGAACUGUAGGUAGAGUUUCCAGCCAACCGUUCCUUAUGAGAGGACAUAGAGAACAGCAUUCCUGUUUCCUCAGUCUAAGUGCAGGCAUCUUGUUGCACAAGUGGGCGGUUAUAUAAGUUGUGACACAGCAGGGUACAGUUGGGGCAUGCUACCUGGCAGUGGCCCUCCUGAAAGUUUCAGUUUCCCAACAAGGCUUGUUCUGCUGCUCGCCUGGUACAAAUGAGUGGGGAGGCUCAUAGCCAGAGUGAGCAGGAAGCCCAGACUGCUGGAAAAAGAUUUGACUUCUGCAAAAGCAGCAGCUGCUCUUACCUGAGGAACCAUCUCUCCAGUCCAGGGAAGUGCCAUGUGGAGUGGAUAUUUAUCCUCAUUUCCGCGACAAGAAAAUUAUUUGAUGAGGCUAUUGGGAUCUAUUUAUCCAGCUGGAAGUGGCAUGCCAAAACCAGAGCCUUUUCGCAAUUCUGGGUGAUUUCCAGAGAUGUUCUCUGUGCAGAGACUAUCAGAGCUGAGUAAUGGACGAGGCAGAGACCCACCUGAUCUUCUCACGAAACCAUGAUUUUACAUGUAUACUUCUGUAGGCAUGCGGCCAGACGCAAGCAGCUAUAGGGAAAGGAGAUGUGCCUGGGAAGUUCCAGAAGCAUGCGGGAAAAAUGUUGAUAAGAAGGAGUAAACUGUCGGGCCCUUUUGUCCUGUGAUCUUGACCUCUGGAUUUCUAAAGAAUGUACUCGUUUUUCUUUGUCACCAGCUCCGUUGGAACCAAAGGGAAAAUAAAUUGAAUUCUGUAAACAGAGUUCAGAAAGACGCAGUCUGGUUCCAGGAAAGGAACCACGCCGGCUCUUUAUUCAACAUGGCUUGAGCUGGCAGCUUCAGAUUUGCUGGGAAGCCCCUGAGUAGCUCGGAGAGCUGAUUGUACAAAGGGCAAGUGCUGUCAUUAAAAACAAUGAAUGUUUGGGCUCCUGAGUGACUCUGUGAAGAAGAAAGUAUUUAUUAAAUUUUGAUCUGUAUAUUCAAGGAAAAACUAGAAACCCAGAGAUGGUAGCGACAGCAGCAGCAGCAGCAGCAGCAACAACAACAAAAAGCAGUGGAGAAAGAGAAGAAAAACGCUCAAGUGAAUAAUAUUUAUUAUUGUUAUUGGGAUGGUUUGUGUUUUACUCUUGGUGCUAUUUUCCUUUAAAACAAAGGCAAACUGGGAAGAAUAACAGUGGAGCCACUUAGGUAAAGAGGGAAUUUUGAGGUCCUUGUUACUUGGAUUACAACCCUAGCUUCUGUUUCUACUUGAAAAUACAAGUCUAUUAUAUGAUUUAUAUAACCCAUCUGUCUGAUAAGGCUUUUUUUCCCCCUUCCUUAUGAUUCACUGCAUUAAAUGUGAAUUAAGCAAUGACAAGACCUUUGUUUAAAGGCCAGCCUUCACAGACUUUUAAUUUCCCUCUGGAUCUCACAGCUAGCCCUCAAAUAAUUCCUGUUCAAACAGCUGCCAAAAUGCUUUCCCAGAGAAGGGCCAUAGAUGCUGAGUCUUAAAUCGAGGAGGGCUGUGAUCAAGGCAACAGCUUUUUCUGGCUUGGAGUUUGCAUGCAUUUGGCGGGCUACCGAAGAGGAUUAAGUAAUCAUUCUCCUGGAACCAAACGGAAAUGGACCUGGACACCAGCUCUUUGGGUUGAACCCCAAUAUGUGUCUCGGGGUUUUCAUUAAUCGUGCUCCAUUGGCUCAAACUUUAUUUUCAUAUCACAUUUUAAAUGGAACAAUUCUGCGAGUAUCUGUGUGCAGGUAAACAGUUUCUCUUUUUUUCUAUGAAGUUAUUCGUAAGUGUGAAUAAGCACUCAUUAACUUAUUCAGCACAAUAUUGUUGUGACCAGCGGUAGAGGGGAAGGAGGAAGGAAGGUCUGGAACCAUAGCAGCACAAAGAGAAAGUAUUUUGUAGUUAUUUCUUUCCACAGACUAAACCUUCUCCCAAGUUUCAGGAUUUGCAAAGCCCUCCCCACAGUUAAACGAAGAAGGAAGACUUGCUAGGGAGAAGAGACUCUGCUACUCUGCUGAUCUGACUGCAAGCUGGGCAAGGAGAGCCAGGGAUGCAGCUUUCAUCAGUUGUCAUGUGACUUGGGCGUGCGUUUUCUGGAGAUGCAGCUGUCACUGCACCUCUAUGCUCCUCUUUUCAGAAAGAUUAGUCCUGCUAAUGAGGCACCCACGAACACUGGCACAUACCCAAGCAUACGCUUUUUAUUACUUCGUCGUCAGUGCUCCUGUCAUGAGCCUUGAAUUCUCAUUCCUUCCUCAAAAUCUGCGUGAAGCAAAACAUCAGACCGAAUGAAGAAAUGAUGCCAACCUGAGCUCUGCCCACAUAUCUGAGAACUCCUGUCAACAAGCAUGAUUGAUGCUGUGAUUGACAUGCAGCUGCCUGCUGCUCCAGGAGAAGCCACGGAAAGGCAGAGCCGGCUCAUCAAGCGUCUGUUCUUGGAUCAUCUACAUGUAGGUGGCAAGAAGAGACUAUCCUUCAAGGAAGGAGCAGAGAGGAUGUACCUGCUGAAAUUCCUCCCCGCGGCUAUUUCCCACGCAAGAUCAGGCCGGCCUACUUCUAGAUGUUUCAAUCUAAUCCCUUCAGUGGCAUUUAAAGAUACUUGAUUACAAACCUUGCUGAGAUAUUGAAGCCAAGAAAAGGUGAUGAGAAUGACCAACUCUAAGUGCAGAUGAUCAGGUGGAAGACACAGUACACCCAGGACAAGUCCCUUGGACACUCAGUAACAAUUAGAGUAAGGCAGAGCUUUUGGUACAGUGGAGAUGGAUGGACAGUUGUGGAAGUAGGUAGAGAUGAGGGAGUCUGAUGCAUAAGGUUUGUGUGCUAUAGAGAAUCCUUCUUGACUGUCAUUGCCAUAGGUACCACAUUAGGGGCCUGAUUUAAAAUAACUCUAUAUACCAUUUACCUUUGGGAAGGCUAAGCCUCAGAGAUGUCAUGUACAUUUAUUAAGGCUACAUGGCUAAUAAAUGUUGAAGCUAGGACUUAAGUUGAGAUUUCCUUGGUCCCAUGUUAGUCUAUCUUUCAUUGUUAUUAAAGGAUUCCCAAGAUUAGGCAUUCCAUAAUAAAGCAUGCAAUUGCUUUGCAUUUGGCUACCAGAAAGUCUGAAGAGCAUGGUACUAGUUUCUGGUGAGGCUCGAUGCUGCCAUCCAACAUGGAAGACUACCAGGGGGUGCAGAGCAAAAGCAAGGAAAAGAGUGCCAGAGAAACCAGAUGUGUUUUACAAUGACCUACUCACCAAUCAACCAAUUCAACCCUCAGGGAACCUACU